UUGCUCCUGGUUUCGUCGGCGGACGGGUGAGUAAUGCCUAGGAAUCUGCCUGGUAGUGGGGGAUAACGUCCGGAAACGGGCGCUAAUACCGCAUACGUCCUGAGGGAGAAAGUGGGGGAUCUUCGGACCUCACGCUAUCAGAUGAGCCUAGGUCGGAUUAGCUAGUUGGUGGGGUAAAGGCCUACCAAGGCGACGAUCCGUAACUGGUCUGAGAGGAUGAUCAGUCACACUGGAACUGAGACACGGUCCAGACUCCUACGGGAGGCAGCAGUGGGGAAUAUUGGACAAUGGGCGAAAGCCUGAUCCAGCCAUGCCGCGUGUGUGAAGAAGGUCUUCGGAUUGUAAAGCACUUUAAGUUGGGAGGAAGGGCAGUAAGUUAAUACCUUGCUGUUUUGACGUUACCAACAGAAUAAGCACCGGCUAACUUCGUGCCAGCAGCCGCGGUAAUACGAAGGGUGCAAGCGUUAAUCGGAAUUACUGGGCGUAAAGCGCGCGUAGGUGGUUCAGCAAGUUGGAUGUGAAAUCCCCGGGCUCAACCUGGGAACUGCAUCCAAAACUACUGAGCUAGAGUACGGUAGAGGGUGGUGGAAUUUCCUGUGUAGCGGUGAAAUGCGUAGAUAUAGGAAGGAACACCAGUGGCGAAGGCGACCACCUGGACUGAUACUGACACUGAGGUGCGAAAGCGUGGGGAGCAAACAGGAUUAGAUACCCUGGUAGUCCACGCCGUAAACGAUGUCGACUAGCCGUUGGGAUCCUUGAGAUCUUAGUGGCGCAGCUAACGCGAUAAGUCGACCGCCUGGGGAGUACGGCCGCAAGGUUAAAACUCAAAUGAAUUGACGGGGGCCCGCACAAGCGGUGGAGCAUGUGGUUUAAUUUCGAAGCAACGCGAAGAACCUUACCUGG
rnacentral:rRNA from 1 species